GAUGAUGAUGAUGAGUCUGAAGCAUGGACAGAAUUUGACAGAUAGGACAUGUCCAGACCUUGGCUAGAGUGCAGUUGACUGCAGAUGGUUGAAGUUGGAGAAAAGAGCAGAGUGUGCCACAUAGAAUGGCCUGAAUACCCUUCAUCCCAAAAGGUAACUGCCCUCUGAUAUUUUGGAAGAUCCUAAGUGUCAGUUGCCAUUUCACCAACUUCUGCACAAGUCCAGGAACAAAAAUCUCUGGAGCCAGCAAAUGAUGUGCAAUGUAGUAAGAAUCUUGCAGCGUGACUACAUGCCCCAUGAUCACCAAUCAGAAAAUUGUAUCAUGCAUAUUUUUCAUCGAGAGAAAAUUCCAAUGAGUCUUUCACUGAACACAAAAGUGUUUAUGGUAUUGUGUCCCGACAGGGAAUCUCAGGACUUGAAUAUAUAGCCCUAUGAUUCCUAGAAGGAAAUGAUGCUUCAUGUAUAACCUGUCACCAUUCUGGGAGGAAUCAGGAGGCAUUUCCUGUGUUGAGGGAGUCCUUUGACCUAGCAACAACAUCAGUACCAAUGAAGGGUUGGGGAAUGGAAAAAGAGGAAGAAGCAAACAAAAAAAAGGCAGCAAAUGGUUAAAUUAAGAGUUUCAUACUGAACAUCUUCCCUGUUCCCUGUUCAGCCUGUCAAGUUAUAACUACAAAACACUAAAAAUCCUCAGGGAAAACAGGAGGGAUGUUCAAAGUUAUUAGCACUGUGCCAUAUGUAUUAUUUGGGAGUAUUUUAUGUGACAAAAUAGGAUCAGCGUAACUUUCUGUAGGGGUUUUGUUAGACAACAUUCUUUAUUCAACUAUUUUAUUCAAAGAGGCUAUCAGUAUAGAGAAUCUUCUACUAAAUAUCAGGAGAAAUCAUCUAUAUUGCUUGUCAUUGUGCUGAGUGUCUGCCACAUUACUGCAAAGUCUGAACUCUGCGUUAAUUUGAUUUAAAGCAGAUUUUGACUAUGUUGUGAUAUAGUCAUUUCCACAACUCAGCAAUCACCAAACACUUUCUAUAUGAUUUUCUUAAAAUCCCACUGAGGUAGAUACAACAGAUGUUAUAUUUGAUGGUAAAGAUAGAUACUGGGAAAAUGCAAAUAUUAUAAUCUUGGGUAAUUUCGUGAGUAAUUCAAAUGUUUCAAUUCUUACUGUCCUGUGAAUUGUUUUCUUGUUGGCCUACAUCCAUUGGUCUGUUAGAAUUUUAUUAAUUUUAUUGUUUACUGAGCUUUGUGACUUUGCCACAAAUGAACUUGUUCACUGACCUGAGUGUCAAAUGCUUUAAUGAAUUAUAGACUUUUUUCUCACAAUGUCAGCAAGGUAAUCAAAAGGUAUGAGCAUAUCUGUCAGGCUUCUUCUUUUCCAGCCAUGCAGAAUCCAUCUGACUGUUUAUUAAUAAAUGAAGACCCGAUGCUGCUAACAGAUGUGCAACUGCCAGCAAUGACAAAUGUGUCUUUGCAUAAGCAAAGUGUCAUCAGUAGAAUGUACACUAAGAGCUUGGUGAGGGGUUACAUGCUUUUCAUGGAGAAAGUCUCUUUUUAGACUUCUAGCAGCUAGCAUUUGAAACAGUGAGGUGAUGCGAAAGGCCUGAGCCAAAAGCUCUGGAAAGCUAUCGUCAGACUCAGUCAACAGCACCAUACAAGCUAUCCUCUAACCUAAAAUUAAAAGUUUCCCAUUAAUUUCUCUGGAAUGCUACAGUUCUGUGGUAUUUGUAUUUAGGCAGGUGCUUUUAGAGGUGGAAGAGGCCACAAGAGCCAACUAGUCCAACCUUCUACCAUGCAGGAAUAUACAACUAAAGCACAUCUGAAAGAUGACCAUCUAAGCCCUGUAUUUUUGAAGGCUUUCAUGGCCAGAAUCAAUGGGUUGUUGUACGUUUUUCAGGCUGUAUGGCCAUGUUCCAGAAGCAUUCUCUCCUGACGUUUUGCCUGCAUCUAUGGCUGGCAUCCUCAGAGGUUGUGAGGCCACCAUAUAGACAAUUUUGGAGUAUUUAGGAAUUCCAAAUAAGAGGUCCUUAACCUGUAUAAAUAUUUUAAUCUAUAUAAAUAAAAACGUAAUUUUAGUUUGUGGGAUUAACAUAACUGAAAAACCACUGGACGAAUUGACACAAAAUUUGCACACUACACCCUUAACAGCCCAAUAAGUGACCAUCACUUAUAGCCCCCUCCCCCCAAAAAAAACAGCGGAAAGGAUUUAAAAACCAAAAAAAAGCUAAACAACAAUAUAGUGCAUAUUUCCAAUUUCCUAUUCCUGGACUGCAACUCUCAGCAAUUGUCCAGAUAGAUAAGAUAGAUAGAUUACAUAUAGGUAGGUAGGUACGUAGAUUGAUUGAUCAGGAGGACUGCUGGGAGUUGCAGUCCAAGAAUAAAUAGGUAGAGAAGGAAGAAAG